GUAAAAGUCGUAACAAGGUUUCCGUAGGUGAACCUGCGGAAGGAUCAUUAUUGAAAUAAACCUGAUGAGUUGCUGCUGGUUCUCUAGGGAGCAUGUGCACACUUGUCAUCUUUAUAUCUCCACCUGUGAACCUUUUGUAGACCUGGAUAUCUCUCUGAAUUUGCCUGGCAGAUUUGGGUUUAAGGAUUGAUCUGUUCUUUCCUUGUGUUUUCAGGUCUAUGUUUUUCAUAUACCCCGAUGUAUGUUUAUAGAAUGUAAUAAACAGGCCUCUGUGCCUAUAAACUUAUACAACUUUCAGCAACGGAUCUCUUGGCUCUCGCAUCGAUGAAGAACGCAGCGAAAUGCGAUAAGUAAUGUGAAUUGCAGAAUUCAGUGAAUCAUCGAAUCUUUGAACGCAUCUUGCGCUCCUUGGUAUUCCGAGGAGCAUGCCUGUUUGAGUGUCAUUAAUAUAUCAACCCUCUUUUGCUUUUUUGCAUGUCGAGUGUUGGAUGUGGGGGUUUUUGCUGGACUCUCUCCUUGAGGUCAGCUCUCCUAAAAUAAAUUAGCAAAACAAUUUGUUUACUGCUCAUUGGUGUGAUAACUAUCUACGCUAUUGGCAGUAUAAUGCACAGUUUAGCUUCUAACAGUCCAUUGACUUGGACAAUCUUUUAUCAAUGUGACCUCAAAUCAGGUAGGAUUACCCGCUGAACUUAAGCAUAUCAAUAAGCGGAGGAAAAGAAACUAACAAGGAUUCCCCUAGUAACUGCGAGUGAAGCGGGAAAAGCUCAAAUUUAAAAUCUGGCAGCCUUUGGUUGUCCGAGUUGUAAUCUAGAGAAGUGCUAUCCGCGCUG
rnacentral:rRNA from 1 species